AGCCUUAAGUUUUUAUUUAAGGUGACGCCUGCCCAGUGUGUAAAAUAAAUGGCCGCAGUACCUUGACUGUGCUAAGGUAGCAUAAUCAGUUGGCUUUUAAAUGGAGUCGGGAAUGAAUGGAAUAAUAGGGUGAAGCUGUCUCUUACAUAUUUUAUUGAACUUACUUAUUAGGUGAGAAUUCCUAAAUAUCAGAAAAAAGACGAGAAGACCCUAGGAGUUUUUACUAUUUGCUAAAUUUAUUAGCUACUGUUUUUGUUGGGGCGACAUAGGAAGAGUAAAUAACUUCCUUUCUAAUAUACGCCGACUAUGUAUGCGUAAUUAAACUACCCUAGGGAUAACAGCGUAAUUCUAAAUAGAGCUUGCGACCUCGAUGUUGGACUAGGGACUUAGUUGGCUAGCCGCCAACUAAUACUGUUCUGUUCGAACUUAGUUCCC
rnacentral:rRNA from 1 species